GCCCAAUAGCUAGCUCAACCCAUCAAACACAACAACUAACUAUUUCUACCCCCUAAUAAACUAAAGACUUAUAAACAAAUCAUUUUACCACCUAAGUAUGGGCGACAGAAAAGGACCACUCGGAGCAAUAGCAACAGUACCGCAAGGGAACGCUGAAAGAGAGAUGAAAUAGAUCAGUAAAGCAUUGAAAAGCAGAGUUUAACCCUCGUACCUUUUGCAUCAUGAUUUAGCAAGAAGACAUCAAGCAAAGAGAACUUUAGUUUGAUACCCCGAAACCAAGUGAGCUACUCCAAGACAGCCUUAUAGGGCGAACCCGUCUCUGUGGCAAAAGAGUGGGGAGAGCUUUGAGUAGAGGUGACAGACCUACCGAACUUGGUUAUAGCUGGUUGUCCAGGAAUUGAACAGGAGUUCAGCCUUUUGCCCUCUUUCCUCACUGCUGGUUACACUUUUAAGCCCCCAAGAGGACAAAAGAGUUAGUCAAAGGGGGUACAGCCCCUUUGAAAAAGAUACAACUUUCCCAGAAGGGUUAAGAUCAUAACAUUAAUUAAGGGGUAGUGUUGUAGUUGGCCUAAAGGCAGCCACCCACACAGAAAGCGUUAAAGCUCAUACACCUCCCUUCCCCAAUUAUCCGGACCACUACAUCUUACCCCCCUACAUAUACUGGACCUAUUCCAUACACAUAUGGAAGAGAUUAUGCUAAUAUGAGUAAUAAGAGACCAAGACUCUCUCCUCGCACAAGUGUACAUCGGAACGAACCCACACCGAAAAUUAACGUCCCCAAAGAAGAGGGAAUUGGAACAUAAUGGCCCGGCCACAAGAAAAACAUCCACCCCAAACCGUUAACCUCACACCAGAGUGCAUACAAGGAAAGACUAAAAGAAAAAGAAGGAACUCGGCAAACACCUCUAGCCUCGCCUGUUUACCAAAAACAUCGCCUCUUGCAAUCCAAGAAUAAGAGGUCCCGCCUGCCCUGUGACUAUUGUUUAACGGCCGCGGUACUCUGACCGUGCGAAGGUAGCGCAAUCACUUGUCUUUUAAAUGGAGACCUGUAUGAAUGGCAUAACGAGGGCUAAACUGUCUCCUUUUUUAAGUCAAUGAAAUUGAUCUCCCCGUGCAGAAGCGGGGAUAUUUACAUAAGACGAGAAGACCCUAUGGAGCUUUAGACAAAAAGCAGACCAUGUUAAACAACCCGGACAAGGGCCUAAACUUAGUGGCAACUGCCCGACUGUCUUUGGUUGGGGCGACCACGGAGUAAAACAAAACCCCCGUGUGGAAUGAGGGUAACCCCUUUAAAACCAGAGUAGCACCUCUAAUGAGCAGAAAUUCUGACCAAACAUGAUCCGGCAAGGCCGAUCAACGGACCGAGUUACCCUAGGGAUAACAGCGCAAUCCCCUUCUAGAGCCCAUAUCGACAAGGGGGUUUACGACCUCGAUGUUGGAUCAGGACAUCCUAAUGGCGCAGCCGCUAUUAAGGGUUCGUUUGUUCAACGAUUAAAGUCCUACGUGAUCUGAGUUCAGACCGGAGUAAUCCAGGUCAGUUUCUAUCUAUGAAAUGAUUUUUUCUAGUACGAAAGGACCGAAAAGAAGAGGCCCAUGCUGAAGGCACGCCUCCCUUUCACCUAGUGACAACAACUAAAAUAGGCAAGAAAGCAUACGCCUUUGUCUAAGAGAAAGACUG
rnacentral:rRNA from 1 species